rnacentral:tRNA from 1 species
GUCCCGGUAGUAUAGUCUGGUCAGUAUAAUGGCCUGUCGAGUCAUUGACCGGGGUUCAAAUCCCCGCCGGGGCGCCA